AGAGUUUGAUCCUGGCUCAGGAUGAACGCUAGCGGCAGGCUUAACACAUGCAAGUCGAGGGGCAGCAUGACACGGAGAUUCGUCGAAGUGUUGAUGGCGACCGGCGCAAGGGUGCGUAACGCGUGAGCAACUUGCCCGCUUCAGGGGGAUAACCGGUGGAAACGCCGACUAAUACCCCAUGGCAUUGGCUGGAGGCAUCUCCGGCCAAUUAAAGAAAUUCGGAAGCAGAUAGGCUCGCGUGACAUUAGCUAGAUGGCGGGGUAACGGCCCACCAUGGCGACGAUGUCUAGGGGUUCUGAGAGGAAGGUCCCCCACACUGGAACUGAGACACGGUCCAGACUCCUACGGGAGGCAGCAGUGAGGAAUAUUGGUCAAUGGUCUGACGACUGAACCAGCCAUGCCGCGUGAAGGAAACGGCCCUAUGGGUCUUAAACUUCUUUUGCGAGGGAGCAAUAAGGUCUACGCGUAGGCCGAUGAGAGUACCUCGCGAAUAAGCAUCGGCUAACUCCGUGCCAGCAGCCGCGGU
rnacentral:rRNA from 1 species